AAAGUACUCCCUCCGUCCCAAAAUUCUUGUCUUAGAUUUGUCUAGAUACAGAUGUAUCAAGUCACAUUUUAGUAUUAGAUACAUCUGUAUGUAGACAAAUCUAAGACAAGAAAUUUGGGACAGAGGGAGUAGUUG
rnacentral:pre_miRNA from 1 species